rfam:Ectothiorhodospira sp. PHS-1 contig004, whole genome shotgun sequence.
GCACCUCUGAGGUGUGCGUGAGCGGCUGGGUAAUAUCCUUGAGCCUAAUCAACUACCCCGGGAGCCAUUCUGCGAUGUCUUGUUGUGCAUGUCCGCCCCGUAGCGGAAAGCCUGUAGAGAUCGCGUCGGCCCCCACUUGAACCCCUGGUUCAAGGUCGAAAGCUCGCCACGGCACUCUCGGAGCGUGC